AUUUGUCAGUGGCAAUUAAGCAGAUCAAUUUAGGAUAUAGAUUCGUGUCUCGCUGCUUGUUUAUGAGUUGGGGUCAGGGUGGGGAUUAGAGUUAGCAUUCAUAAAUAGCGAGACAUGAAUCUAUAACCUCAAUUUACCAACGCGUUGAUUCCAAAGCAUAAAGAAUUACUGUCACACCAUGAUAUUUGCUGGCUUAAUUUCCUGCUGGCGGGAAUUUUAUGUGAUCAGUCGUAUAAUUAAACCACGUUGUCGCUUGAUAUAUGUAAAAUUGAAACCCAGACAAAGUAAAAAUGUGUUAUUCAAGCUUUAACUGGAUACUGUUUUUAGCAAAGGAAAAGUUGGAAAUUUUGCGUAUGCAUAUAUAUCUGAAAAAAACAUGCAUAACUUGCAAAAACAACAGCGCAUUUAACCUUGCUUUUACAUCCGAAAAUGACGUGUCAUUGCCAUAGACAUCUUAUAUACACUAGAUAGUGCAUCUAUAUAAUUAUUCUACAAUUCAAAAAUUGAAGC